GAUGAACGCUGGCGGCGUGCCUAAUACAUGCAAGUCGAGCGAACAGAUGAGGAGCUUGCUCCUCUGACGUUAGCGGCGGACGGGUGAGUAACACGUGGAUAACCUACCUAUAAGACUGGGAUAACUUCGGGAAACCGGAGCUAAUACCGGAUAAUAUAUUGAACCGCAUGGUUCAAUAGUGAAAGACGGUUUUGCUGUCACUUAUAGCUGGAUCCGCGCCGCAUUAGCUAGUUGUUAAGGUAACGGCUUACCAAGGCAACGAUGCGUAGCCGACCUGAGAGGGUGAUCGGCCACACUGGAACUGAGACACGGUCCAGACUCCUACGGGAGGCAGCAGUAGGGAAUCUUCCGCAAUGGGCGAAAGCCUGACGGAGCAAGGCCGCGUGAGUGAUGAAGGUCUUCGGAUCGUAAAACUCUGUUAUUAGGGAAGAACAAAUGUGUAAGUAAAUAUGCACGUCUUGACGGUACCUAAUCAGAAAGCCACGGCUAACUACGUG
rnacentral:rRNA from 1 species